CGGUCCAGACUCCUACGGGAGGCAGCAGUAGGGAAUCUUCCGCAAUGGGCGAAAGCCUGACGGAGCAACGCCGCGUGAGUGAUGAAGGUCUUAGGAUCGUAAAACUCUGUUGUUAGGGAAGAAACCAAUUUUGUUAGUAACUGAACAAGUCUGACGGUACCUAACCAGAAAGCCACGGCUAACUACGUGCCAGCAGCCGCGGUAA
rnacentral:rRNA from 1 species